rnacentral:piRNA from 7 species
CGCGGGAGGCCCGGGUUCGAUUCCCGGCC